CUUUCUAUAUUAUGAAUCUUGCUUAGCUUUGUUUUGUCUUCACAGCUCAUUCCUGCUUGGUUCAGCCUCAGUGCUCUCAUUAUCUUCAUCUGAAGCCUCAACAGACAGCUGACACACAAACAUAGAAACAAGCUGCACACCAGUUUUCCUGCUCUGAGUAGAAACAGCAGAGGUAACACCAGACUGCUGGGAAGAUUAAACCAGAUACCAGUUGUCAUUAUCACACAUUCAGCAUCACUUUUCAACUCAUAGAGUACAGACCAAACCAGAUUCCAUGCAAACCUCAAUGCCAGCACUCCCAGUAUGGCCAUAAUGGUGUAGAAUGCCCUCUGCUUUGAUUGGUCAACCCUCUCCCUGCCCCCACCCUGUUCCCCUGGACCUGGACGAAUCAGAACACAGAGAACGGAAACACUGCAGAAGGAGAUGAUGACUAAAGAUGAUAUCAAGAAUGACCAAUUCACAACGGCUCCGGUAGGUGAUGGGAUGAACCACAGCCAGGUAGCGCUCCACACAGGUCAGGACGUGGAAGAACGUCCCUCCCAACCAGGUAAAAGAAAAAAGACUGGACCCCACAAAUACUAUGAUUACAUGAUCACUGUAGGCACCACAACAGGAGAGAACAGACCCAAAGACACCAAUCAGCUCCAUGGUGACCAUGUUGUAGGUGAAGCUGUCAGAGUGACUCAUGGUUGCUGCUGAGGAGGUGGAGCGCUUUAGUCUCCAUUGUUGGAGACCAUAGUAGAUGAUGAAGAUAUAGAGAGGGAGGAGGAGGAGGAUGUUGGUGAUGAAGUAUGAGGUGAAGAUGAAGGAGCUCGGUCUGGAGAUGAGACAAUACAUGUCUAAAGAGUGGUCAGAGCUAAUGAAGGAAAUGCUUGGAUGAAGAAGGGAGCCAUUGGAGGAUGAGGAGUUUACAGACAUGUCUGGAAGAGAAGAAGACAUGAGAAUCAAAUGGAUUAAAUUAAUAAUAAUCAUAACUCUGUCUUAGAAGAAGGAUUCCUUUUCUGUUGCGGCAUCAGCAGCAACGUUGACCUUCAUGAAAUUAUUGUACAUUUUCACCUCCUUCUCUGCUUGCACAACAGAACUAUAUUCUUUAAACAAUCCUGGCUCUGUAGAGUGUACA